rnacentral:rRNA from 1 species
AAGACCUUGCGCUUUUGGAGCGGCCGAUGUCUGAUUAGCUAGUUGGUGAGGUAAAGGCUUACCAAGGCUUCGAUCAGUAGCUGGUCUGAGAGGACGACCAGCCACACUGGGACUGAGACACGGCCCAGACUCCUACGGGAGGCAGCAGUGGGGAAUUUUGGACAAUGGGGGCAACCCUGAUCCAGCCAUGCCGCGUAAGUGAAGAAGGCCUUCGGGUUGUAAAGCUCUUUCAGCCGGAACGAAAAGGUUACGGUUAAUACCCGUGACUAAUGACGGUACCGGAAGAAGAAGCACCGGCUAACUACGUGCCAGCAGCCGCGGUAAUACGUAGGGUGCGAGCGUUAAUCGGAAUUACUGGGCGUAAAGCAUGCGCAGGCGGUUUUGUAAGUCAGAUGUGAAAUCCCCGGGCUUAACCUGGGAACU